rnacentral:lncRNA from 1 species
UAAGUGCAUCCCACACAUAUAUACACACACCCCACAUCUUUUCUAUCCACUCGUCUGUCAGUGGGUCUAGGUGGCUUCCAUGUCCUGGCUCUUGUGAACAGUGCUGCAGUGAACGUUGGGGUGCCUGUGUCCUUUUGAAUCGUGGUUUCUCAGGGUGUGUGCCCAGGAGUGGGAUUGCUGGGUUGUAUGGCAGUUCUACUUUCAGCUUUUUUAGGAACCUCCGUACUUCCCCACAGUGGCUGAAUCAACUUACAUUCCCACCAACAGAGCCCGGGAGUUAGUUCCCUUGUCCUUGCACCCUUUCCAGCACUUGUUUGUAGGCUGUUUCGGCGAUGGCCGUCCUGAGCUUGUGAGGCGCCUCACUGUAGUUCGGUUUGCAUUCCUCUGACAGCUAGUGGUGCUGGACAUCUUUUCAUGUGCCCCUGGGGCAUCUGUCUGUCUUCUUUGGGGAAAUGUCUGUUUACGUCUUGGGUCCAUUUUUUGAUUGGGCUGUUUACUGCAGGGAGAUCACCUGCUCAUUUUAGUGAUGGAGAAGCUGAAGCUGAGAAAUCUGCCCAAACCUCAGCAGUGAGAGGGAUGGGGCUGCCGCUGGAACGGGCCUCUCAGGUCCCACCCCUGUGUUCACCACCCCGUGAGCUGUCUGCUGUGAAGACGCACAUCCAGGAGCACACACAGAAGGACCUGCAAGGCCCCAAGGUUUUUUUUUUUCCUAAUGGAGAGCCUGGUGGGUUGCCGUCUCUGGGGUCGCACAGAGUUGGACACGACUG